rnacentral:rRNA from 1 species
CGUGUAGGCGGCCUCUUAAGUCUGAUGUGAAAGCCCGGGGCUUACCCCCGGAAGUGCAUUGGAAACUGGGAGACUGGAGUACCGGAGAGGAAGGUGGAAUUCCUGGUGUAGCGGUGAAAUGCGUAGAUAUCAGGAGGAACACCGGUGGCGAAGGCGGCCUUCUGGACGGAUACUGACGCUGAGACGCGAAAGCGUGGGGAGCAAACAGGAUUAGAUACCCUGGUAGUCCACGCUGUAAACGAUGGGCACUAGGUGUUCGGGGUAUUGACCCCCUGAGUGCCGCAGCUAACGCAUUAAGUGCCCCGCCUGGGGACUACGGCCGCAAGGUUAAA